UACAGAGGUGGCAAGCGUUGUUCGGAAUUACUGGGCGUAAAGGGCGCGUAGGCGGUUUGCCAAGUCCCGUGUGAAAGCCCCCGGCUCAACCGGGGAACGGCGCGGGAAACUAGCAGGCUUGAGUUCGGGAGAGGGAAGCGGAAUUCCGGGUGUAGCGGUGAAAUGCGCAGAUAUCCGGAGGAACACCGGUGGCGAAGGCGGCUUCCUGGACCGACACUGACGCUGAGGCGCGAAAGCUAGGGGAGCAAACGGG
rnacentral:rRNA from 1 species